rnacentral:tRNA from 1 species
GGGGUUGUGGCUCAGUGGUAGAGCGCUCGCCAAGAUGUGUGAGGUCCUGGGUUCGAUCCUCAGUACCACA